rnacentral:rRNA from 1 species
GACGGAGGAUGCAAGUGUUAUCCGGAAUCACUGGGCGUAAAGCGUCUGUAGGUGGUCAAAUAAGUCAACUGUUAAAUCUUGAGGCUCAACCUCAAAACCGCAGUCGAAACUAUUAGGCUAGAGUAUAGUAGGGGUAAAGGGAAUUUCCAGUGGAGCGGUGAGAUGCGUAGAGAUUGGAAAGAACACCGAUGGCGAAGGCACUUUACUGGGCUAUGACUAACACUCAGAGACGAAAGCUAGGGUAGCAAAUGGG